rnacentral:rRNA from 1 species
AACGAACGCUGGCGGCGUGCCUAACACAUGCAAGUCGUGCGAGAAAGUUCCUUCGGGAGCGAGUAAAGCGGCGCACGGGUGAGUAACACGUAGGUAACCUGCCCCCCAGUCUGGAACAACUAGAGGAAACUCUAGCUAAUGCCGGAUGAGACCACGAUCCCUUCGGGGGUUGCGGCCAAAGAUGGCCUCUACUUGUAAGCUAUCGCUGAGGGAUGGGCCUGCGGGCCAUUAGCUUGUUGGUGAGGUAACGGCUCACCAAGGCUGUGAUGGCUAGCUGGUCUGAGAAGAUGACCAGCCACACUGGGACUGAGACACGGCCCAGACUCCUACGGGAGGCAGCAGUGGGGAAUAUUGCGCAAUGGGCGAAAGCCUGACGCAGCGACGCCGCGUGGGUGAUGAAGGCC